UUCAACCCCAAGUGCUAUAAAAAAUAGAGGCGUUUAUGUAGAAAACAUAGUGCUAAAUGAAGGCCAAGACCGUGUUAAGCUCUACGGAGGCUUCUGGGACUAAAGCAGGUAGGAUGGAGCUCCAGUAGAGCCCCGGCAGAGCGGCAGCUGCCCAGCAGGACAGAGGCUUAUUGCUGCUCUGAUACAAUCAGAGCUGUUGGAAUAUGCUGCUUAAGCUCGUUGACUUCAGUACGGACGUCCGCGGGCUGGAUUAGAAUUACCGAUCCACUUUUUUACUUCCCCCCUCCGUUGCAGCAGAAUUUCUUCUGCGAUUUAUUUCCCGCUUGGAUUUCAGGUGAUUUUCAGGUUCCUCUUUCGUAUUCCAUCUGCAAAAUCAGUCCCAAAAACUAACGCUUGUGGGAGAGGGAACGUGGCCGUUGGGGAUAAAGUCACGCUUUAUUUCCUACCCUUUAAAAAUGCCAACAGUUCUGUGCAGGGUGUUUGCUGCUAUUGUUUUGCUUGUUUGUUUCUCCAGCAUAUCUGUCCUGUGACGUGCAGUGCAAGAGGAGAUAAAGUGGCACGUGAGACAUUUGAAAUAUUGAUGAGGCUAAACGGCGGGGACCACUCCGAGCUUGGUUGGAGCCAGGCUAACUCUUGGCUCUGACCCUCGAGCCAGGAGACCCCCAGUGCAUUUUCGUAGCUGCUGCUCUGGUUCGUGGCUGAUUCUUGAGGACAAGGGUAUGGAAACCGAAUGCUUCAAAGCCAGAUGAUGAAAUGUUCCUGCUGGAAGCUCCCUGUGCACACGUGAUCCCCCUUCUCUUCUUGGGAGAGGUAAAAGGAGAAGGAAGAGCGUGGCUGAGGAGAAGAGGCAGCGGGCAUCCAUCUUCAAAUCCUGGGGACGCUCAACCCAAGUGUCCAAUGACCCUGGGACUUAGCGUGCCCACACAUGGCUGUGUCGGUGUUGAUGACUCUGCACAUAACUGCCUUUCCCACCCAGAGCUCUGUGUGCUGCUGGGCUGAUGAGAUUGAUUCCCGUUCCCUUGAUGGAACGCGGGCAAGGAAAGGGCCGUGCUCGUUCUCAGCAGCUUAUAUCCAAAAAUGCUGAAGAUGCAAAAGACUCUUUGUGCCUUGAGGAACAUCCUCCGAUUGAAUAGCAGUUGCCAGCUGUCUGCUUUCCAAGGAAGAGGCUACAUGGGUCACUGUGCUGCAAAACCAAGUGUGAAGGACCGUGCUCCUGGCUGCUUCGCGAGGACGGCUUGGCCACAGGGCUGCCCUGCCUGUUGGAGGGCUCGGGUUGGGGGAGCUCCUGAUUUCAGCGAAACCUAGGUCAGGUUGUAACAGAAGAAAUACAAUAUAGGAAGAUUAAUUAAAAAAAAAAAAAAAAAAGGCAGGCUGAAAGAUGUGAUUUAUUUAUGUGUAUUUGUGUGCUUUCCACACCAGCAUGGGUUUAGCUAUGCUGCAGGUUCAGUUUGGUUUUUGUUUUCUUUCCUCUUUAAAUUGAAACCCAUGCUCUAAAACAUUCAUACUAAAUAUGCUGCUGAU